ACGGGUGAGUAACACGUGGGUAACCUGCCCAUAAGACUGGGAUAACUCCGGGAAACCGGGUCUAAUACCGGAUAUCAUUUUGAACCGCAUGGUUCGAAAUUGAAAGGCGGCUUCGGCUGUCACUUAUGGAUGGACCCGCGUCGCAUUAGCUAGUUGGUGAGGUAACGGCUCACCAAGGCAACGAUGCGUAGCCGACCUGAGAGGGUGCUCGGCCACACUGGGACUGAGACCCGGCCCAGACUCGUACGGGAGGCAGCAGUAGGGAAUCUUCCGCAAUGGACGAAAGUCCGCCGGAGCAACACCGCGUGAGUGAUGAAGGCUUUCGGGUCGUAAAACUCUGUUGUUAGGGAAGAACAAGUGCUA
rnacentral:rRNA from 1 species